rnacentral:rRNA from 1 species
UUGAUCAUGGCUCAGAAUGAACGCUGGCGGCGUGCUUUACACAUGCAAGUCGAGCGAGGCGGGUAGCAAUACCCAGUCGAGCGGCGAACGGGUGAGUAACGCGUGGAUUAUCUACCCUGAGGUGGGGGAUAACCCGGCGAAAGCCGGGCUAAUACCGCAUAACAUCGAAAGAUCAAAGGGGGAGCAAUCUCCCGCCAUUGGAGGAGUCCGCGUCCGAUUAGCUAGUUGGUAGGGUAAUGGCCUACCAAGGCGACGAUCGGUAGCCGGCCUGAGAGGGUGAUCGGCCACACUGGAACUGAGACACGGUCCAGACUCCUACGGGAGGCAGCAGUGGGGAAUUUUGCGCAAUGGGCGAAAGCCUGACGCAGCAACGCCGCGUGGAGGAUGACGGUCCUUGGAUCGUAAACUCCUGUCAGCAGGGAAAAAGGGGACCGGGCUCAUACCCCGGUUCAUUGAUUGUACCUGCAGAGGAAGCCCCGGCUAACUCUGUGCCAGCAGCCGCGGUAAUACAGAGGGGGCAAUGCGUUAUUCGGAAUCAUUGGGCGUAAAGGGCGCAGUAGGCG